rnacentral:tRNA from 1 species
AGGAACUUAGGUUAAACACCAAACCAGGGGUCUUCAAAACCCCAAAUAUGAUAUUAACAUAGCUCCUG